rnacentral:rRNA from 1 species
AUUGAACGCUGGCGGCAGGCCUAACACAUGCAAGUCGAACGAGCGGCGGACGGGUGAGUAAUGUCUGGGAAACUGCCCGAUAGAGGGGGAUAACUACUGGAAACGGUAGCUAAUACCGCAUACUAUCGGAUGAACCCAUAUGGGAUUAGCUAGUAGGUAGGGUAAUGGCUUACCUAGGCGACGAUCCCUAGCUGGUCUGAGAGGAUGACCAGCCACACUGGAACUGAGACACGGGCCAGACUCCUACGGGAGGCAGCAGUGGGGAAUAUUGAACAAUGGGCGCAAGCCUGAUGCAGCCAUGCCGCGUGUAUGAAGAAGGCCUUCGGGUUGUAAAGUACUUUCAGCCGGGAGGCGUUACUCGCAGAAGAAGCACCGGCUAACUCCGUGCCAGCAGCCGCGGUAAUUC